UACAGAGGGUGCAAGCGUUAAUCGGAAUUACUGGGCGUAAAGCGUGCGCAGGCGGUUUGUUAAGUCUGCUGUGAAAUCCCCGAGCUCAACUUGGGAAUUGCAGUGGAUACUGGCAAGCUGGAGUACGGUAGAGGAAGGUGGAAUUCCCGGUGUAGCAGUGAAAUGCGUAGAGAUCGGGAGGAACACCAGUGGCGAAGGCGGCCUUCUGGACCAGUACUGACGCUCAUGCACGAAAGCGUGGGGAGCAAACAGG
rnacentral:rRNA from 1 species